GCUUACGGCCAUACCAACCUGAGCACGCCCGACCUCGUCUGAUCUCGGAAGCUAAGCAGGGCUGGGCUUGGUUAGUACUUGGAUGGGGGAAUACCUGGUGCUGUAAGCC
rnacentral:rRNA from 1 species